rnacentral:rRNA from 1 species
UAGGGGGCGUAGCAAUACGUCACCGGCGGACGGGUGCGUAACACGUGGGAAUGUACCUUUUGGUUCGGAACAACGCAGGGAAACUUGCGCUAAUACCGAAUGUGCCCUUACGGGGAAAGAUUUAUCGCCAAAGGAUCAGCCCGCGUCCGAUUAGCUAGUUGGUGGGGUAAAAGCCCACCAAGGCGACGAUCGGUAGCUGUUCUGAGAGGAAGAUCAGCCACACUGGGACUGAGACACGGCCCAGACUCCUACGGGGGGCAGCAGUGAGGAAUUUUCGUCAAUGGUCGCAAGACUGAACGAGCAACGCCGCGUGCAGGACGACGGCCUUCGGGUUGUAAACUGCUUUUCUGUGGGAAGAGAACGGACGGUACCACAGGAAGAAGCCCCGGCUAACUACGUG